rfam:Pseudogymnoascus pannorum VKM F-3808 contig_1486, whole genome shotgun sequence.
GGCAACUUGGCCGAGCGGUUAAGGCGCUAGUUUCAGGUACUAGUUCGAAAGAGCGAGAGUUCGAAUCUCUCAGUUGUCA